CAAUGAAUUUAAGAUUCAUAUAUAAAGAUAAUUUUUUUAUUGGAA
rnacentral:tRNA from 1 species